rnacentral:SRP_RNA from 15 species
UCAGAGCAACGGACCGCCUGAGGCUGGAACACGCAGGCCAAGGCAGAGCAU